GACAAACGCUGGCGGGGUGCAUGAGACAUGCAAGUCGAACGGGGUUGAGCGGGCUUGCUCGAUCAACCUAGUGGCGGACGGCUGAGUAACGCGUAGGUGACCUACCCGGAAGUGGGGAAUAACUGCCCGAAAGGGUGGCUAAUACCGCAUGUGGUCGGCGAUUCGGUUCGCCGCCCAAAGCCGUAAGGCGCUUCCGGCGGGGCCUGCGUCCGAUUAGCUAGUUGGUGGGGUAAUGGCUCACCAAGGCGACGAUCGGUAGCUGGUCUGAGAGGAUGAUCAGCCAGACUGGGACUGAGAACGGCCCAGACUCCUACGGGAGGCAGCAGUCGGGAAUUUUGCCCAAUGGACGAAAGUCUGAGGCAGCAACUCCGCGUGAGGGACGAAGGCCUUCGGUCGUAACC
rnacentral:rRNA from 1 species